UAGUAAUACGACAUAAGCUAGGAUUUUUCACAUUUCAUUUAUUGGCAGAAGGGUGUGCAUCUCACAAAACUGAUGCAUGUGUAAGACAUUCUAUCAGGAAAGGGGCAUGCUUGUGUUGAAAAUUCUGUUUUAUUCCUCCAAUUGUGCAUUAGUUAUAUACCUGAAUGUUUUGAAGACUUCUUCUAAUGUGCCGAUUAGACAAAAUUAUCGAGCAAGAGGUAGCUUUACUAAAGUUACUAAGCAAGUAAGAAAACUUGUAAUUUAUACCAUUAUGGAUGUAUG
rnacentral:misc_RNA from 1 species